CCGUAGCUCAGCAGGAUAGAGCAUCAGAUUCCUAAUCUGAGGGUCGCAGGUUCGAAUCCUGCCGGG
rnacentral:tRNA from 1 species